GCCGAGGUGGUGGAACUGGUAGACACAAGGGACUUAAAAUCCCUCGGGCUUAACGGCCUGUGCGGGUUCGAGUCCCGCCCCCGGCA
rnacentral:tRNA from 1 species